rnacentral:ncRNA from 1 species
UGUCUCCUCCAACUCUUCACAGAAUUGGAUUUUGGCCGGUGCGAUGCACCGGCCAUUUUUUU